rnacentral:tRNA from 1 species
UACUUGUAGUACAACGAGUAGUACUAGUAGUAUUUGUACUACUACGAGUCUUACUAGUAGUACAUACUACUACUAGUAG